UGACGUGAGGCUACCCGCUGAACUUAAGCAUAUCACUAAGCGGAGGAGAAGAAAACAACCGUGAUGCCCCUAGUAAUGGCGAAUGAAGCGGGCACAGCUCACGCCGCCAAUCUGGAGGCCCUCGCGGCCUCUCGAAUUGUAGUCUAGAAACGCGCCAUCGGCCGCGUCCGUCGCUAAAAUCCCUUGGAACAGGGUAUCGGAGAAGGUGAGAAUCCUGUGACGUGGCGGAUCGCGGCCGCACGAUGCGUGUUUGCAGAGUCGGGUUGCUUGGGAUUGCAGCUUGAAGUGGGAGGUAAAUUCCUUCUAAAGCUAAAUAUUGCAGCGAGACCGAUAGCGAACAAGUACCGUGAGGGAAAGAUGCAAAGAACUUUGAAAAGAGAGUUAAAGAGUGCUUGAAACCGACAAGGGGAAACCCGGUUGUGCCCGGUGUCGUGCAGUUGACUCAGCCUUUACGGGUGCACUUCUGCUGCGCGGGUCAGCCGCCGCUGCAUGCGAGGGAGAAUCGUCCGGGGGGCUUCGGUGAGCCGGUACCUACCUCGCUUGUGGCGCCGUCUGACGUAACGGGCACCACCGACCCGUCUAGUAACACGGACCAAGGAGUCUGACAUGGGCGCGAGUACUCGGGUGUCAAGCCUGUGUGCGCAAUGAAAGUGAAGGGCGUGCCCCGCCAACCGACCUUGAUCUUCUGUGAAGGGUUUGAGUGGAGCGUUCCUGUCGGGACCCGAAAGAUGGUGAACUAUGCCUGUAUAGGUUGAAGUCUGCUGAAAGGCAGAUGGAGGGCCGUAGCGAUACUGACGUGCAAAUCGUUCGUCUAAUAUGGGUAUAGGGGCGAAAGACUAAUCGAACCAUCUAGUAGCUGGUUCCCUCCGAAGUUUCCCACAGGAUAGCUUGAACGCCGACGGUUUUGUCAGGUAAAGCGAAUGAUUAGAGGCCUUGGGGCUGCAACUAGCCUUAACCUAUUCUCAAACUUUAAAUGGGCAAGAAGUGGGGGAUGCUUGAGUGAUCCCUCGCGGCGAACGGCGCGUUCAAAGUGGGCCAUUUUUGGUAAGCAGAACUGGCGAUGCGGGAUGAACCGAACGUUGCGCUAAGGUACCCAAGUGUCCGCUCAUCAGAUACCACAAAAGGCGUUGGUACCUCCAGACAGCAGGACGGUGGCCAUGGAAGUCGGAACCCGCUAAGGAGUGUGUAACAACUCACCUGCCGAAGGUACUAGCCCUGAAAAUGGAUGGCGCUCAAGCGGACCACCGAUGCGCGACCGCCGGCGCGAGUGCGAGGCGCCGGCGAGUAGGAGGGCGCGGGGCUCGUGACGCAGCCUUGGGCGUGAGCCUGGGUGAAACGGGCUCUGGUGCAGAUCUUGGUGGUAGUAGCAAAUAUUCAGAUGAGAACUCUGAAGACUGAAGUGGAGAAAGGUUCCGUGUGAACAGCAGUUGGACACGGGUGAGCCGACCCUAAGAGUCAGGAAAGCUCCGUUGAACGCGGCCCUUCUGUGGCCCGUCCUCGAAAGGGAAUCGGGUUAAUAUUCCCGAGCCAGCGCGUGGAUGGUGGGCGGUGACGCGAACGAACUCGGAGACGUCGGCGGGAGCCCUGGGAAGAGUUCUCUUUUCUUCUUAACUGCCUAUUGCCCUGAAAUCGGUUCGGCCGGAGCGAGGGCUUCAUGGCAGGCAAAGCACCUUAAGUCUUGAGGUGUCCGGCGCGCUCCCGACGGCCCGUGAAAAUCCGGGGGAGCGGUUCGUUCUCACGCCUGGUCGUACUCAUAACCGCAUCAGGUCUCCAAGGUGAACAGCCUCUAGUCGAUAGAGCAAUGUAGAUAAGGGAAGUCGGCAAAAUGGUUCCGCAACCUCGGGAGAAGGAAUGGCUCUGAAGGCUGGGCGUAGGGGUCCUAGGUCCGAGGCCCAAGGCUGCGCGAGGACUACUGCUCACGCGGCGGACCACGCGCGGCCGACCGGCGGAUGGCCUAGGAACGGCUUCGGCCUUUCCCUGCGCGAUGAACAGCCGCUUCAGAACUGGCGCGGACAAGGGGAAUCCGACUGUUUAAUUAAAACAAAGCAUUGCGAUGGCCGGGGACGGUGCUGACGCAAUGUGAUUUCUGCCCAGUGCUCUGAAUGUCAAAGUGAAGAAAUUCAACCAAGCGCGGGUAAACGGCGGGAGUAACUAUGACUCUCUUAAGGUAGCCAAAUGCCUCGUCAUCCAAUUUGUGACGCGCAUGAAUGGAUUCGUGAGAUUCCCACUGUCCCUAUCUACUGUCUAGCGAAACCACAGCCAAGGGAACGGGCUUGGAAAAAUCAGCGGGGAAAGAAGCCCUGUUGAGCUUGACUCUAGUCUGUUGCGCGGGACGACUUGAGAGGUGUAGAAUAAGUGGGAGAGCAAUCGCCAGUGAAAUACCACUACUUUCAACGUCGUCCCACUUACCCGGUGAGGCGGAGUGGUGCUUGCACCUCUUCUGGUCUUAAGGCUUCGGCCGAUCCGCGUCGGGGACACACACAGGUGGGGAGUUUGGCUGGGGCGGCACGUCUGUAAAAAAAUAACGCAGGCGCCCGAUUUUGAGCUCAAUGAGAACAGAAAUCUCAUGUGGACCGAAAGGGGAAAAGCUCGGUUGAUUUUGAUUUUCAGUACGAAUACAAACCGCGAAAGCGUGGCCUAUCGAUCCUUUAGUCUUUGGGAAUUUCAAGCUAGAGGUGUCAGAAAAGUUACCACAGGGAUAACUGGCUUGUGGCUGCCAAGCGUUCAUAGCGACGUAGCUUUUUGAUCCUUCGAUGUCGGCUCUUCCUAUCACUGCCUCGCAGCGGGGGCCAAAUGUAGGAUUGUUCACCCACCAAUAGGGAACGUGAGCUGGGUUUAGACCGUCGUGAGACAGGUUAGUUUUACCCUACUGCUGCUCGUUUUUCAACGGUAAUUUGGUUCAGUACGAGAGGAACCACCAAUUCGCACCAUCGGUAUAGCCGCCGCUGGAAACGGCGAUGCGGCGAAGCUGCCAUGCGCCGGAUUAUAACUGAACGCCUCUAAGUUAGAAUCCAUGCCGGAAGGAAAGCGGUCUACCGUGUGGGGGCAGCCAUGCGCAACCAUAUUGCAUGAGCCGUGAGCGAUCACAAUUUCCUGACCCCACGCGAUGAAUCACUUGCAGACGACUUGAAUAAGGAACGGGGUAUUGUACGCGGCAGAGUGGCCUUGUUGCCACGAUCCGCUGAGAUUCAGCCUUGGUUCUGACGAUU
rnacentral:ncRNA from 15 species